GACGAACGCUGGCGGCGUGCUUAACACAUGCAAGUCGAACGAUGAAGCCGGAGCUUGCUCUGGUGAAUUAGUGGCGAACGGGUGAGUAACACGUGAGUAACCUGCCCUUGACUCUGGGAUAACGCUCCGAAAGGAGUGCUAAUACCGGAUACUCACAUCGAGGCACAUGCCUUGGUGUGGAAAGUUUUUCGGAAAGGGAUGGAGUCGCGGCCUAUCAGCUUGUUGGUGAGGUAACGGCUCACCAAGGCGACGACGGGUAGCCGGCCUGAGAGGGCGACCGGCCACACUGGGACUGAGACACGGCCCAGACUCCUACGGGAGGCAGCAGUGGGGAAUAUUGCACAAUGGGCGCAAGCCUGAUGCAGCGACGCCGCGUGAGGGAUGAAGGUCUUCGGAUUGUAAACCUCUUUCAGUAGGGACGAAGCGAAAGUGACGGUACCUAAAGAAGAAGCACCGGCUAACUACGUGCCAGCCGCCGCGGUAA
rnacentral:rRNA from 1 species